UAGCUCAGUGGUAGAGCGUGUACUUUGCGCGUACGUGGUCCCGGGUUCGAUUCCCGG
rnacentral:tRNA from 1 species